CUCGCCUACAUGAAGCUGGAGUUACUAGUAAUCGCAGAUCAGAAUGCUGCGGUGAAUGCGUUCCCGGGUCUUGUACACACCGCCCGUCACACCACGGGAGUUGGAGACGCCCGAAGCCGAUUAUCUAACCUUUUGGAAGAAGUCGUCGAAGGUGGAAUCAAUAACUGGGGUGAAGUCGUAACAAGGUAGCCGUAUCGGAAGGUGCGGCUGGAUCACCUCCUUUCUAAGGAGAAUU
rnacentral:rRNA from 1 species